rnacentral:lncRNA from 1 species
GAUAGUUCGAAUGAAAUAUUAUGAAAAAGCAACAAAUGAUAACAUUACUUUUCACAGUAAGACAGUAACAGAACAAUGAGAAGAAAAAUAGCAAGCAAUGAAUAGAAGAAAAUCAUAACAAAUUAGGAAAAAACAAAUUAACAAAACCUACUUCGUCAGAUUUCGGAGAUUUCGACCAACUGUGGAGGCAAAAGUAGAAACAGUGCUUUCAGUUCGCUGGCAUUCGUCUUCCCCUAACCUAGCUCUUCUUCUCUCUAUAGUCUAAACCACAACCACGGAGGGAGUGUUCUCGGAGUGUGUUCAGAGGGAGGAGUGCCGAGAAAUUAGAGAUGCGUGGUGUGGGAGUGUCGAGAAAUUAGAGAUGCAUGGUGUUGAUGUG